GCUGUAAUCUCUACCAACAAAGUACUGAGUGUAGGGUCUGAAUACUUAUGUAAAUGUGAUAUUUCAGUUUUUAUUUGUAAAACGUUUGCAAAAAUGUCUAAACCAGUUGUUGAUUUGUCAUUAUGGGGAAUGUGUGUAUAUUGAGGGGAGAAAAACAAUUUGAUAUAUUUUAGAAUAAGGCUGUGAUGUAACAAAGUGAAGGGGUCUGAAUACUUUCUGAAUGCACUGCAACUCUGACCCCCCCCACACACACACACACACACUAGAUCGCCACCAAUCAUUGUUAAAUCUUCUCUCCAGUGUUUGGCCAUCGUACUGGACAAUGGCUACAGCCACCCAUUGCUUGAGCAGCUUCUGCCAGCUCUGAAGAACAGCCUCCAUGACUUUUCGGAGAAAGUACGCGUGGCCUUCCUCGACAUGCUGCUAAAGAUUAAAGCGGUGCGGGCCGCCAAGGAAGUGACUAUGGGUGUGGCUAGGGAGUGACUGGUGCGGAGUACUGGUUCUACUGGGCUGGUGGGGAGCAAGGAGAGCAAGUGCCUGCUGCUACUGGCCGAGGGAAUCCUGAAAGCAUGGGCCACCCCUGCCUUGAAGAAUCAGUAUGGCAAUAUGUCACCGAGAUCUGGAACAAUGCCAUGACAGAGGUAUGUUUACCUAAAUCUAACUGCCCUGAUCAGAGUGAACUCACAGCUACCCACAGUAUAUCCAAAAGCAAGACAGACAGGUACCAUCGUUCUUAGAGAAUGGUGAGCCUGAACCAUCCAAGUCCUUGAGGAGUCCUAAUGACUGAUAUUUUGACCCAUACCUGCUGAGUUUGCCAUAUACUAGUCAACGCAUUCUAACCUGUAAUAAUGACAUGGCUUUGACUCAUUUUUUUUAUAGGGAUCCUGUAUUGUGCCUUACCAUCAAUAGUGUUUUCACUUGCACACAAUUCAAGUCCAUCAAAUUGUAUUUGUCACAUGCUUCAUAAACAACAGGUGUCAUCACUUUCCCUCCUGGGUGAGGAUCAAAGAGAGCCCCCCUCCCUCCCAUCAAAGAGGAGGGGGAGGGGGGGGGGGAGUUGGCCAGUUUUAUGAUGGUCGUAAAUACCUUGCAUGAACUCUCUCUCCCACUCUGCAGAAAUGGAAGUAUAAAAUACCUUUGUUACAACAGAGAGAGACUUUGCAGCACUGUAAAAUCAAAAGAUUGGACAUUGAGACAAUAUCCCCAACACAAAGCUGCUUAUGCUCUGUUAGCCUAGGAAACUCGACUGAAGACGAGAGACAUAGAACAAUUUUCUUUCACCACUAUCGGUAUCUCUAGGGUAUCUAUUCUAAACAAACAGAGUGAAGAAUAAGGCUAAUUGAACACUGCGUGAUACACCUCUGGAAGAACCGUUCUACCAGACUCUCCGAGACCAAGAAGCUACGACAACCAGAGACUUUCUGUCGACUGACUCCACAGACUGAUUGGGCAUUUUCAACUGCGAGACGACAAAGACAUACAAGCGUAAAUAUGUACCUUGCAUUUCUAAAUCCGAAUGAGUGGUUGUUGGCAUACUAAAUAUCCAUAUUUACGAUGAGUGUAUUAUUCAACUGUAUGUACGAUAGUUGAAUUCCUUUGUCGCUCCUCCUCCCGCUCCUCCCUCCUCCCUUUCAUUGUGUAACAAGCCAUCAUAUCGGGUUAGUCCACUAGGGACUUUUCAUUGCAUCAUGUUAGUAACCAAUGUAUAUCUAUCCUGUGUGUGUGUUUAUGUAAUUCUGUGUGAUUUAUUUAGUUAGUUAGUAAAUAAAUAAUUAAGCCAAUUUGUGUAUCGCUGAUUCAUCAUGGAGACUAGGGUUUGUGCAGAUAUGAAGUCAACAAGGUUCAGAAUGAGUUUGAUGAGGUAAUGGAUGACUUGUAUAACAAUAUAUUUAUGUCUUUAGAGUUAAUUCAGGAA